UGAGUUUUGUUGGGAGAAGAACAUAGCAAGGUGAGUACCUUUGAUAGUAUUACGUCACAGUAUCGCUAUUUUCUACGGUUGUGUUAUUUGUAUCUUCAUACUGAACGUGUUGACUAGUGUGCUCUACGCAUCUAGUCUAGCCUCACAAGUUACCGGACUUUUCUCCCUUUGCCAGGUCUUGAGGACACUCAACUCUGUGAGGAAUGUGUUCCAUGAUGUGCGCACAAAGUUCCUGACCAUGCAUCAGGUAUCACCUUAUUUUGCAAUGUCAUGUUCUUAUUCUGCAAGCUCUCCUUGGUCGCUUACGGUGCUGACAUUUUUUUUGUUUUUUUGAAUGUCACUGGUGCAGCAGGUUUUGUGGCCUAUUAUUCGAAGAAGUAAGGCCACUGAAUCAGCAUAGUGGGGUCGCAUUUUCUGACGAUAUUUCGCUGUACCUUUGAAGUGGUACAACAUGCUUUGCUUGGCUUGUAGAGCUUGGAGUCCUGCAGCUAUUGGAACUGUGCGUCCAGUAGGCCCUAACCUCACCAAAAUGAACACAUAGUAAGAAGAGGAAAAACAUCAGAUUCCCUCCAAAAGUUUCCCCACGAAUGCUAAUGGAAUAACGAGAUUGGUGGGACGGAAUGUGGGGACUCACAUUGAAAAAUAUGCUAGAGACAAGGCUGUUCAUCUGGUGCAUCACCGAUGAGGUGGCCAUGGCUGAACUACUAGAGAAGAAGUCACGCGAGGAAGAGGGAGAGUUUGGGAAUAGGAGGAGUUAGGAAUGGCUUUUGUUGA
rnacentral:lncRNA from 1 species